UAAUUUCCUAUUUGCCUGAAAUUGUGAAAUCAGAAUCAAAUGUAAAUAAUCAAGUUCUAAUGUUCUGAAAACUAUAAGAUGGAUUGAAGAGUAUAAGUAUUUAUCUUGAUUUGUUGUUCCUUUACAAAGUUAUUUGAUUUUUAAAUCAAUGGCUAAUACCUGAACUUCACUUUAAUAAGAACUCCAUGAUGUUCAUCUGUGGAAACACAAAAAUAAAAUCAAUGUAGUAGCUGAUGAAUGUAUCAUAAAAUUCCAGGAGUAUUUUGGACAAACCCAAUACAACCUCUCGCAACAACCAUUUUUUGGAAAUUGUUGAUGAAUGUCUCAUUAUGGGGGUAUUCAGCUUUUCUAACAUUUGAAAUUUGUUGAUGAAUGCCCUCUUUAAACCCAUCCAAAACAGAAAACAAAACCAUGCUCAUGAAGUUCAGGUCAGGUACUACUUUCAUGGGUCCAUACGUUUUUUCUGCAAUUUAUUAUGGUUUUUAUGAAAUUGCAUAUCAUUGCAGCUCAUUUUCGAUCAGUCUAGAAAAACAACCAUUUCCGACCUAGUUAGGAACAAUAUCAGGUCAGGGCAAAAAUUACUUACAAAUUACACUUAAUUUCUAAGCUUUGAGAGUUUGUGGAUCCUAAUUCCGAAUUGAUGAUUUUUCUAGAAUUUUUCUAAGACAACGGCAAAAUGGUCGAAUAUACAAUAUUUUCCAGCUUUGGUUAUUAUGAGUUAAAUGGCAUCUUAACCCAUUAAGUGACAAUGAAAAUGACUUAUAACCUGGAAUCACUUGAAAUCUAACUCAAAUUACAAUGUUUUUAUGUGUAAAGCAAAAGUACAAUAAUGUAAGAUAGUUAUAGACUUAGUGUCUUCUUCUGUUGUCCAUUCUUUGUUCGGUUACCCAAUGGAAUUACCCAUCAAGUAGAUUCCUACACAAUUACCCAUCAGGUUAUCAAAGACUAAUAAAUUGAUUGGCUUCAUCAAGUCUUUGAUAAGUUACACAGAAUAAAAACAAUAGUUUGCUUAUUUAAACAAUGUAAUUCCAGGUAAAACCCAUUGGAAUUUUUGUUUUAGGGUCAAAAGUUGUUUCAAGAACAACUUCUUUUGAAAAAUUACCUCCUUCAACUGAAUACAUGUGCAAUUUACCAUCUUAGACUCCCAAAAUAGCUUCAUUUCCAUCUAGGGCAGUUGCACAUGAAGUCACAGUAAACCUAAAGUAAAUAUUCAACAACAAAAGUUCCAAGAAUUUAUCGCCCGUGACUCCAUCAUUGUUCCUUGUUUUUGUAUACAUACCCCAAAUUCGAAUAAUGAAAACUGUAAAAAAAAAAAAAAAAAAAAAAAAAAAAAAAAAAAAAAAAAAAAGUAAGAAAAAUGCAUGUAUGGAUUUGCAUACACCCAUGAUAUAAGAUAAUACAUGGUAACGCAUACCAGCACCUUUAUCACAUUUAGUAAACCAACUUUAGUGCCAUUGCUUCCUCUACUGUUUAACAUCAAUGGCAUGCUUUGAUUGUCCCUUUAAAUAUAUAUUUUUUCAACUUUUCUAUAUAAAGUUAAGUAUAGAAAUCAUAGGGGAACCUUUAAUUUAGCCUUGUUAUAAAAGUAUUUCGUAAAACCAAAUUGAAUUUCUACAUUUUGUGGUCAAAACCAGUUCAUUUGACUUUCAAAAGUCAGCAGCAGAUGUAUCACAUAAUCUAAAAUAAUAAUAAUAAUCUAUAAUAAAAAAAGACGACAAUAUGUAUAUAGAAACACCUUCCAAGUAUUUGAGAGAGGAUCCCAUGGUGUGUAUCCUGAAGAAGCAUUGGCUCAGUGAGAGUAUUAUGUCCCAUAUAAACAAUACGAACCUGAAAUUAGAUUAAAAUAUUCAUGAUUUAAUUAGUCGAUAGUCAAGGAAUCAACAACAAAAAAUCAAACAUUUAAAAUAUAUACAUAAACAUAAAAAAAAAAAAAAAAAAAAAAAAAAAAAAAAAAAAAAAAAAAAACAUGUCUUGUUGCAUGAAAUGCCCAACACAAACCAUUUUUGCUGAAAGAAUACUAAAAUGAAGAGAAGAACAUUAACCCUUGAUGAGAAUCCCAUGAGAUAUGUCAAAGUAUGAAGCUUACAUACACAUAGAGAUACAUAUGUAAUUGAGCAAAAUGGUGAGGAUUUUUUGGUAAAUUUUAAUAAGAAUGUGAAAAAAGGAAAUGGGUUUGUUUUUGGUCUUUUGGACGAUAAUGCCCCUAGAUGAUUCUUAACAAUGACGUAUGCCUUGGUAAUGGCCUCCUUCUUAUGUUAACAACAUUUAACCCCAAUCUUUAAAUCCCAAUAGCUCUAAAAUCAAAAUUGAAGGUAAAAAUGAAAUAUGUCAAAUAGAUUCACCAGAGAUAGAUACCAAAUGAUAUUUACUUUUCAUUUUCAUAAAAGAAUUGAUAAAAAAGGUUCACCUUUGUUGAACCAUGAAAUCUUUGUGCCUAACAUUUAAAUCUCCAAUAUUAUUGUUGAAUUUUGUAUCUCUGAUUAACAAUAACCACAACAUGUUAACGAAUAUUCAAUCAACCCAAAGAAACAAUAGCAGCUACAACAGAGAAGGAUUCAGACAUUCCUUUUCCUUCUUCACCACUAAUCCUACAUGAAAACAAAAUCAUUAGAAAACAUCUCAAUUAGUAAAGAAAAUCAACAGAUAUGAGAAAAUAAAGUUAAUAACUGAUCAACAUGCCCUACUUUUCGCAUAAAUAUCAGCAGAUAUGAGAGAGAAGGGUGAGGCAAAGAGUGGAGAAGAUGAAAGAAUGAGUGAUAACUAAAAUGGAAAAGGGUGAACAGCACCCGUAGGUAGAGGCUUCAUUGAGUAAACCGUUGUAAAAGAU
rnacentral:lncRNA from 1 species